rnacentral:lncRNA from 1 species
UACUGGUUACCACUCUGUGUGUAGCCAAGAUGAAUCUUGGGGCAUUUUUGAACCCAUCCCUGAUGAAAUUUUCAGGCUCAUUUAACCAGUAGUCAAAUGACCAGGAAACCAGGUGGGAGCUACAGACCAAGAUAUUUUUGGAUAAUAGGAUGCUAAAUGGGAAAGACAGAUUAGUUACAAGCAUUUGAUUCUCAACAGAUUUCGUGUCUCCCUCUCUACCCCCAUUCCAAUAACUAUGUCUGCUAGCUAUUGAAUAACGGGGUUUAAAAUCUCCUGGACUAUUAUCAUAGCUGCAGUAGCAAUCUUUUAACACGGUGCUUGCUCAUUCAACCCCUAUUAUAAUUUUCAGUGAAGUAAAAUAUCACAAAGUCAUUCAAAUUCAUAGACUAAAGAUAUAUCUAUAGUGACAAAGUAAAGUAUAGGAUAAAAUUCAUUAUCCUGAUAAAUUGAUGAACAUGGACAGUCACUCUGAAUAAUUUGAGCCAAAGGAACUUUUUCCUCUCAAUGGUUGGAUAUUUUUGGCCUGAUUUAUCCACAUAAUUGCCUCAGCUCUUCAUUUCAUUUUGCCCAUGUCAACACAACAAAGUCUCUGUACUUGAUUUUUGAAAGCUUCAGUAUUUCAUGUCACGUUAGCAAGUGAGACGCACAUAGCAAAUUCUGGAUGGGGUUCUUGUGACAAAUGACUUCUAUGGUUUGCACGUGUCUCCUCAAUGACAGCUGCUGGGAAGAAACAUCACCUCCCAGCUGCACAACUUGAUCCCUCUCUCCCUUGUGAAUUAGGAGGAAUUGAAUGUUUGGCUGUAAAGUGGCACUUCGCACUACUCUCGUUGAAUAUCACAAUUGUGCCUCAUUCACUCUUUCAACCUUUUGUGCGCUUGUCCGUUCAUCUGACAGAAUUUAUUCAAGACCCUCAAUGUGCCAGGACUUGUGGUAGGUGUUUCCACAUCAUUAAAUGAAGAUAAUUGU